GGAAGGGUGGCCGAGUGGUUUAAGGCUCCAGUCUUGAAAACUGGCGUGCGGGCAACUGCACCGUGGGUUCAAAUCCCACCCCUUCCGCCA
rnacentral:tRNA from 2 species